GUAUUGCAAUUUGUAAACAAACAAAAUAAUCGGGUUUACUUGCAAAGAGGUCAGGUGAAUAUGUGCACCUCAAGCGCCUGCCAUGGUGAUGGUGUGGGCAGCCUUAACAGCCGAUAGUCGCUCUCCGCUCGUAUUAAUCGACCGUGGCAUCAGAAUAAAUGCCGAAUAUUAUCGCGAUAUAACCUUGGACAUUCCAACUCAGCAUCAUUGCACUCAGCACGCGCCACCAAAUAAUGGUUACAAAAUGAGGUUCCUCUCUUCAUUUCCAGCGCACAAUGGCCACCAAAAUCUCCGGAUACCAAUCCGUUAGACUAUUGAGUCUGGAGUAUUUUGCCACUUUUGGAUUUAUAUUUAUAAAUGCACACUAUGAUCUAUUUAUAUCAGCGUUCGAAAAUAAACAGUACACAAACAUACAGCCAGUUCCACGAUAUCGAAAUAACACGUUCGCACAAUUUUUACACGACAAACAGCUGAUUUCCGUUCCCCUAAAAUCUAUCUGAACGAAAAUUUGCACGAAAAUCAAAGCGAACGAAAACGUAAGCAUUUCAGUGUAAUUUUGCGUUCCACUAUCUUUUUUCUUUCGUACGCAUGCGAACACAAAUGUCAAAAUCAGUCACUUGUGUGUUUGCUAUCGUAUAAUAACAAUUAAGGAAAAUUGUUUUAACAUAAACAUUGCUUGAUUGAAAAUGGAAACAAAAAUCACGAAAAAAUCAUCAACUACACAGCUGCGGGCACUAGUUGAGUAAAUGGAGGAGAAUCCUGUGUUCGCCAGAGGAAUGCCAAUUUUUGGAAGCAGCAGAAGAAGUUUUAAAUCGGGGCGGAUUUGGGUAGUUCUGCAACCGGGCACCCACUUCUCUUCCAUCAUAUCCAAAAGAGCCCGAAAACUUCCUUCGACACACGAAAGAUGGCCACAAACCUAGAAAAAAUCAUUUUUUAUUAUUUCAAAAAUGUAAAAAUACAAUCAUACUUACUGGUUGUUAGGUACUUCAAAUAAAUUCGAAGCAUCUCUUAAA